UUACGGUCAAAUCACGCUGAAACACCGGUUCUCAUACGAUCACCGAAGUUAAGCAGCGUAGAGCCAGGUCAGUACUUAGAUGGGGACGCUUGGGAACACCUGGUACUGUAAG
rnacentral:rRNA from 1 species